rnacentral:rRNA from 1 species
UGGUUAAUUUAUGGGCAGAUGGUGGAUGCCUUGGGAGAGGGAGGCGAUGAAGGACGUGGCGUGGCUGCGAUAAGCCUCGGGGAGGUGCUUAGCAACCUUUGAUCCGGGGAUUUCCGAAUGGGGAAACCCAACACGGCUCAACACCGUGUUACCAUGCUGUUUCGCCGUGAAUUCAAAAAUCAAAAUUCAAAAUGCAAAAUUUAUCGCUUCGCGAAAGAAAAAAUAUUUUAUUAAUUUUGAAUUUUGAAUUGUCAUUUUGAUUUUUACAUUUUACAUUUUGAAUUUGCUGCGAAGCAGCGUGGGGCGAACCCGCUGAAGUGAAACAUCUCAGUAAGCGGAGGAAAAGAAAAAAAUGUUUCGCAAUUUUUCGAAUUUUGCGAAGCGCAUUCCCUUAGUAGUGGCGAACGAAAAGGGAGGUAGCUUAAACUUACCAUUGCUUCGCAAUGGUUGGGGUUGUAAGUUAGAUAUGUCCCAGAGCAAUCUGGACAGAGCCUCACAAAAUUGUGAUUUGAUUAGGCGAACUACCCUGGAAAGGGAGGCCAAAGAUGGUAAUAGCCCAGUAGUCGAAAAUCAUCACAUGCUCUGAGUAUCUAUACUUGAGUACCACGGGAAAUGAAAGUCCUGUGGGAAACAGGCAGAACUAUACUGCCAAAGCUAAAUACUACCCUCUCACCGAUAGUGAACUAGUACCGUGAGGGAAAGGUGAAAAGCAGGGAGGUGAUCCCGGUGAAAUAGAACCUGAAACCAUUUUGCCUACAAAGAGUCGGAGCUGAGCACAUAAGAAAUUAUGUGCUUGGUGACGGCGUGCCUAUUGAAGAAUGAGCCAACGAGUCUGAGCACAUAGCUUGUCUAAAUCCUUUUGGGAUGAGGGCACAGCGAAAGCAAGUGUUAAUAGCGCGUUUCUGCUAUGUACUCAGGACCCGAAGCCAAGCGAGCUUGCCAUGACCAGGGUGAAUUCUGACGAAGGUCAGAAGGAGGCCCGAACCCGUGAGCCGUGCAAUACUCUGGGAUGAGUUGUGGUAAGAAGUGAAAAGCUAAUCGAGCUUGGUAAUAGCUGGUUCUCCCCGAAAUAGCUUUAGGGCUAGCCUCUACUUAAGUUUUCUAGAGGUAGAGCACUGAAUGGAAUAUUUUGAGCUUUGCUUAGAUAUUUCAAUCAAACUCCGAAUGCUAGAAAAAUUUGGUAGGGAGUCAGACCUUGAGGGCUAAGCUUCAAGGUCAAAAAGGGAACAGCCUUGAUCGUCAUCUAAGGUCCCAAAAUUUGAGCUAAGUGAUAAAGGAAGUGGAAUUUCUCUGACAACUAGGAGGUUGGCUUAGAAGCAGCAACCCUUUAAAAAGUGCGUAAUAGCUUACUAGUUAAGAGAUUCCGCGCCAAAAAUUUACGGGACUCAAGCUCAAUACCGAAGAUACGGCCCCGUACCAAUUUUGCUCCUGAAAAUCUUUGCGAAGCGCGUGCGACGAAUAGUCGCGUUCCGUCAUGGGCGAAGCGCUUCGCCCCCACGAAGGUUAUGCCUAUUCGGCAUACGCACUUCGCGAUAAAAAUUCAGAGGCAAAAUUGGUACGGGGGGUAGGGGAGCAUCCCUAGCGCAGUGAAGCCCUUUCGUAAGGAAGAGUGGAGUGCCAGGGAGUGAAAAUGUUGGCAUGAGUAACCACAAUUGCCGUGAAAUUCGGCGACACCGAAAGCCCAAGGUUUCCUUGGCAAUGACAAUCAGCCAAGGGUUAGGCGGGCCUUAAGCAAAGUCGAAAGGCGUAGCUGAUGGACAGCCGGUUAAUAUUCCGGCCCCCGCGCACAUAAUCUAAAGAGAUGACGAAGUUUAGUAGUUCGGGCGAGUUAUUGGAUUCUCGUUGCUAAUCUAAGAAUUCUCAAGGGUUAGCAAAAUACUCUGAUUCGUUAGAGUAAAUUCGAAUGAGCAGGCUUCCUAGAAAACUCUCUGAAGAAUUAAUUAUGUGCGUGGUCCGUACCCCAAACCGACACAGGUGGGCUGGCGUAAGAGUGCCAAGGUGAACGGGCGAAACCUCGUUAAGGAACUCGGCAAAAAAGCGGCCGUAACUUAGGAAUAUGGCCUGCCCCGACUCGCAAGAGUUUAGGGGUUGCAACAAAAGUUCCCCUGGCGACUGUUUAUCAAAAACACAGGUCCCUGCUUAACUCGUAAGAGGAUGUAUAGGGGCUGAGGCCUGACCAGUGCUGGAACGUUAACGUUGCCGGUUCUCGCCGCAAGGUGAGGGCUGAGCGACCGAAGCGCCAGUGAACGUCCGCCGUAACUAUAACGGUGUUAAAGUAGGAAAACUGCUUUAGUAAAAUCUGGCUAUAUGCUGGAAAGUCUGGUGAAUCCGGUACUACUUUGAUAUAAUUAAGAUAAGGAAUAAUUUUACCUUAUCAUUAUGAAAAGUAAAAAAGUAUCCGGUGCAGACAAUCAGCAGGAAAGAUCCGCCUUUGGCGGAAAUCCUCAGAGGCCAUACGCCAGACCGAAGCACAUAAUUAAUGAUUAUGUGCUCGGAAGAUAUGGUCCGAACUUCGUGGCGACACGAAGAAUUCCAUUAAAUGGAUUUACCCUCCAAAAUUUUUCAAGGAAAAACUUAGGAGGGUUUAACAAAUUGAGCGUAAUCCCUUGUCAGGUGAGUUCUGACCCGCAUGAAAGGCUUAACGACUGGGGGACUGUCUCAACGAGGCGCCCGGUGAAAAUGCAAUACCGGUAAAGAUGCCGGUUACCUGCGGCNNNNNNNNNNNNNNNNNNNNNNNNNNNNNNNNNNNNNNNNNNNNNNNNNGAUGGAGUCGUCAAUGAAACACCACUCUUUUAAAACCUUGGUUCUAACUCGAAAGAAAACAGUGUCUGGCGGUCAGUUUAAGUGGGGCACUUGCCUCCUAAAAGGUAAUGGAGGCGUUUAAAGGUCGGCUAGCUCCGGAUGGAAAUCGGAGCGGUCGGGCAAAGCCAAAAGCCGGCUUUACUGCAAGGCGGAUAUGCCGCGCAGUUGGGAAACCAGAACUUAGUGAACCGAUGGUGGUUCGUAGAACCGCCAGAGAUCAUCAGCCAAAAGCUACCCCGGGGAUAACAGGCUAGUAGGGCCCGCGAGUCCACAUCAACGGCCCUGUUCGGCACCUCAAAAAUUUACCCGCUUAAGUUUUGCGUAAGCAAAAGUUAGGUGGGUCGCCGACACCCGCCCAAAUUUUCUUUGAAAACUUGUGCGGGCAAGAAUCGGGGUGCUAUGGCAGUAAUGUCAUACCAAAAAUUUGGCUAAUAACGGUGAAACCUUUAAAAAGGUAACACCGUGGGAAGUCAGCGCAUUUUACUUCGUAAAAUGCUAAAAUCAAAAAUAAAAAAUCAAAUAUCAAAAAUUUUGACUUUUGCAUUUUGAGUUUUGAAUUUAGCAAGCGAAGCGAGCGCUUGACCCCGUAGAGACUCAGUCAUCUGAGGUGACUGGAUGGAAGUUUUAACCUUUCAUAAUAUGCCAACCCGAGCAUAUAAAGCGUUAUGUGCUCGGUGAAGAUAUAGUCCAAACUAUUAGAAAUAAUAGAAAAUUGCGAUGUCGGCUCUUCGCAUCCUGGGGGUGAAGCAGCUCCCAAGGGUUAGGCUGUUCGCCUAUUAAAGCGGAACGUGAGCUGGGUUAGUGAAAACUACUGAGCCCAGUAAAAAUCGACUCAUAACGGUGAAACCCAUUAGUUUUUGUGGUAAAAUUAACCAAUGGGCAAUACCGUGGGAAGAUUACAAUCUUUAUUUCCGCCACAUCAAUUAGAUGUGAUUAUUGGAUCAUUGUUGGGCGAUGGAAGAUUAGAAUGUCGUUCCAUUGGUAAAAGAUACCCAAUUAGCGCAAGGUUAAGAAUACAUCAGAGUGAUAAACAAAAAGAAUAUGUCUUUUGGAAGUAUAAUCAAUUGAAAAAUCUUGUACUAAAAGGACCAAGAAGAAUAAAAGUAUGGUAUGAUUCAAAAAGGAAAAAAGAGUAUUAUUCUUGGUACUUCCAUACGAAAACAUCUGGGGAUUUUGGAGAAUUACACCGCUAUUUUUACAAAAAUGGUCAGAAAAUUCUGCCAAUCCAAUUACCAUAAUCCUUAAAAGUAUUUAUUAUUCCUUCAAUGAACUAUAAGAUUUGUAAUCCCCGUAACGACUUUUCCGCUCGGAAUGCGGAAAGAUAGGAGCAUAUUGCUUCUAUAAAACGUCGGUGCUUAAUUACGGAAAUUAAGCAAAGGUAUAGUCUAAUACUGUUAGUAAUAACAGAGAAUAUUGUCAAACCGUCAAUUUGGCGGCUUUCCGUCGUAAGACGAAUUGCAAAACCGACUAAUAUCGGUGAAGUCCAUAAAAUGUUCAACCUGUAAUUUUAUGGAUAAUACCGAGGCAACCGAAGCACAUAACAAGUUUAUGUGCUCGGAAGCCGUAGAGACUUUCCCGAUUUAUCGGGAGGACAGAAGAUUAAAUCUUCUGUAAUACGUCGGUCCCAAGCACAUAAAAUUUUAUGUGCUCGGUGGUGAUAUAGUCCAUACUUUUGGUAACAAAAGAUUAAUAUGCGUGAGACAGGUUGGUCCCUAUCUACCGCAGGCGCCGAGUCUUGAGGGGAGUCGCUCUUAGUACGAGAGGAUCAGAGCGAACCAACCUCUGGUCUACCAGCUGUCUUGCCAAAGGCACCGCUGGGUAGCUAUGUUAGGAACUGAUAAGUGCUGAAAGCAUCUAAGCACGAAGCAGGCCCCAAGAUUAGGACUCAUAGAUUCCUCAGAGACUAUGAGGUUGAUAGGCUCCAGGUGUAAGGGCAGCAAUGCCUUCAGCCAAGGAGUACUAAUAAAUC